AGAGUUUGAUCCUGGCUCAGGAUCGAACGCUAGCUGGAGGCUUAAUACAUGCAAGUCGAGCGGGAUUUGAGUAGCAAUACUUGAUGAGAGCGGCGCACGGGUGAGUAACGCGUACACGACCUACCUUUGACUGGGGGAUAGCCCUGGGAAACUGGGAUUAAUACCGCAUAUAAUUCUCGAUAAUAAAGGUUGGGAAUGAAAGUUCAGGCGGUCAGAGAUGGGUGUGCGUCUGAUUAGCUAGUUGGUAAGGUAACGGCUUACCAAGGCGAUGAUCAGUAGGGGGCGUGAGAGCGUGGUCCCCCACACGGGUACUGAGACACGGACCCGACUCCUACGGGAGGCAGCAGUAAGGAAUAUUGGACAAUGGCCGCAAGGCUGAUCCAGCCAUCCAGCGUGCAGGAAGAAGCCCUAUGGGUUGUAAACCUGCUUUUAUCAAGGGAAUAAACCCCUUGGAUUUACUCCGAAGCUGAAGGGUACCUGAAGAAUAAACACCGGGUAAAUUCGUGCCAGCAGCCGCGGUAAUAACGAAGGGUGCGAACGUUAUCCGGAAAUACUGGGGUUUAAAGGGUGGCGUAAGCGGCUUUGUUAGUCAAGAAGUGAAAGUUUGCGGCUCAACGGUAAAAUUGCUUUUUGAUACUGCGAGGGCUAGAAAUUUAGAUGAAGGUAGCGGAAUGUGGCAUGUAACGGUGAAUGCAUACAUAUGUCCAUAGAAACACAAUUGUGGAGGCAGCUGGCUAGACCUGGAAUUGACGCUGGACGCACAAAACGUGGGAGCCAACAGUAUUUGUUCCCUGUGUAGUCCACCCCUAAAAGGUUCUUUUCUGGACGUAUCCCCUAGGAGGUUGUGCUCCCAAGGGAACCCGUUAAGUAACCCCCCGGGGGAUUCGCCCGCAGGUUUAAACUUCAAAGGAAUGGCGGGGGGUCCCCCCAAGCGGGGGACCAUGGGUUUUAUUUUGAUGAUACGGGGGGGACCUUUCCUGGGGUUAGAAUGGGAGUGACUUCUUGGAAAAGCAGGAUUCCUUUGGGGCCAAAAACAAAGGGUGCGCCAGGCUUUCUUCAGCUCGUGCCGUGAGGGUUUGGGUUUAAUUCCCCCAAACGAGCCCACCCCCUUUCUUUAGUUGCCCACCUUAUGCCAAGAUAGAGGGGAUUUUAAGGGGGACGGCCGGCGUAAGCCGGGGAGGAAGGUUGGGGAUUAGUUCAAGUCAUCCAUGCCCUUUUAUGCCCAGGGGGCCCCACGUGCUACCAAUGGCCGGUACAGAGGGUCGCGAAGCCGCAAGGUGGAGCCAAUCCCUUAAAGCCGGUCUCAGUUCGGAUUGGAGUCUGAAACCCGACUCCAUGAAGUUGGAAUCGCUAGUAAUCGCGCAUCAGCCAUGGCGCGGUGAAUACGUUCCCGGACCUUGUACACACCGCCCGUCAAGCCAUGGAAGCCGAGGGUACCUGAAGACGGUGACUUUACUGGGAGCUGUCUAAGGUAAAAUUGGUGACUGGGGCUAAGUCGUAACAAGGUAACC
rnacentral:rRNA from 1 species